rnacentral:snRNA from 1 species
GGAUGUGAGGGUGAUCUGGCUGCGGCACCCCAUUGAUCGCCAGGGUUGAUUCUGCUGAUCUGGCUGGCUAGGUGUGUGUCCGCUUCCUCCCUCACCGCUCCAUGUGCGUCCCUCCCGAAGCUGCCCUCUUGGUGGAAGACGACGACCAUCCCCCAUAGAGGAGGACCGGUCUUCAGUCAAGGGUAUAGGAGUAGCUGUGCUCCCCUGCUAGAACCUCCAAACAAGCUCUCAAGGUCCAAAAUGCUGGAAUUACAGGCGUGAGCCACCGCGCCUGGCCAAAAUUAACUUUAUUUUU